rnacentral:rRNA from 1 species
GGCUCAGAUUGAACGCUGGCGGCAUGCCUUACACAUGCAAGUCGAACGACUGCGGACCUUCGGGUGCCGGCGAGUGGCGAACGGGUGAGUAAUAUAUCGGAACGUACCUUUCAGUGGGGGAUAACGUAGCGAAAGUUACGCUAAUACCGCAUAUUCUGUGAGCAGGAAAGCAGGGGAUCGCAAGACCUUGCGCUGAUUGAGCGGCCGAUAUCAGAUUAGCUAGUUGGUGAGGUAAAGGCUCACCAAGGCGACGAUCUGUAGCGGGUCUGAGAGGAUGAUCCGCCACACUGGAACUGAGACACGGUCCAGACUCCUACGGGAGGCAGCAGUGGGGAAUUUUGGACAAUGGGCGCAAGCCUGAUCCAGCCAUGCCGCGUGAGUGAAGAAGGCCUUCGGGUUGUAAAGCUCUUUCGGCCGGGAAGAAAUCGCACGGGUUAAUACCCUGUGUGGAUGACGGUACCGGAAUAAGAAGCACCGGCUAACUACGUG